GUUGAAUCUUCAUUACCCAGUUGAUAAUAUCUGCAUUUUAAUGCGUAUUUUUAGGCCGUUAACUUUUUUUUUUUUUUUGAGACAGGAUCUCACUCUGUCACCCAGGCUGGAGUUCAGUGGUGCAGUAAUGGCUCACUGCAGACUUGACAUCCUGACCACAGGCAGGGGUCUCACUCUGUCCCCGGGAUGGAGUACAGUAGUGAAUCCAUGGCUCACUCCAGUGUCAAACUCCGGUGCUCAAGUCAUCCUCUUGCCCCGGCCUUCUGAAUAGCUGGGCCUACAGGGGAGGACUGGACUGGCUGGUUGAUUGUCGAAGAAUUUAAGUGACAUCAGGGGGUCUUACAUCCAAUGUAUUGUUUGGAAAUGGAUAUGCAAGAGAACAAAAACCUCAGACCAUGUAUCCUGCUCAGAGCAUUUUCUUACAGCUCCUGACAAUAGCUUCUUAUAGCAGACAGAAUUUCAUUCAUUGAGUUACAACGGCAUGCCUCUAGGAGAAGGAUUUGGAAAAGAAGAUCUCAUGAUAUAGAUGCCAACAACUUGCUUAGAUAUCCUCUCACAGAAAAUUGAAAAGCUAUGUUCUCUUACUUUAAGUUAAAAUAUGAAUAUUUUAUCAUAUUACUAUAAGUUGAAAUAUCUCUAGAUAAUAUAACUUGGAUUUUUUGUAAAUGUUGACAUUUACAAAAUGUUGAAACACAACUUCUUAAAAUGCAUGUUAUAAAAUUUAUAUAAUAGUUAUUUGACACCCAAAAUUGUAUAAUAAUUAUAAAUAUAUUUGUAUAUAUAUAUAUCACCCUAUCAUACUUUUCUAUAAUGAAAAUAUUUUUAUCAAUUAAAAUAAUUGUUCAAAUUUCCUGUAACUCAAGUAAACACGAAAAAUUUCAGCAUUUUUGGUCAUAUUGAUGGCAGCGGCAGCCUGUCUCCAGCAGCUACAGCUAAGAUGACGACUGCAGUGAGGGAGGCGCAGCUGGGCCUGCCGUGCUCCACGGAGCCAGCUGGAGCUGGGAACGGGCAGAAGCCACACCCACUUCCAAGUAGGAGUAGCAGGAGCCCCACCCUACUGGACACAACUGCAGCUGCCUAACCAUGGCUGCAGACCCAGGCAUCUCUGCAUUCCCGAGGGCCCAGUAAAUUCCCCUCCCCUGCAGGCUUGGAAGUGCCUACUCCUACUGCCUAGCCUCUCCCUGCUCCUGGCGCCUGCUCUGAUUUUGGAACAAAGUUGUGGACGAGGCUGGACGCUGAUAUGACACAGCUGGGUGUGUGCAGCUUGGGGCAGCACUGACAUGCCAACCCCUGCCGCCUGGGACCCCAUCAGACUUUGGGCACUGACAAGCAUGGGAAGGAGGCCGAGUGGGGUCUAGGGGCAGCUCUGCGUGGGUCUGCAGGCGCCCCUCAGCACAAACAGCCUGGGGGCCCUGAGCACAAUAGAUGGCAGAUUAAUGGCGGCAGUAGGCAGACAGCCUCCUGGCCAGAAAGGGGCGGGUUCCCAGUGAAACCCCACCUUCCAGCAAGGGGGCCUGAGGCCUUGGGGCCAGGCUGCCAGUUCCAUGGACUGGAGUGAGAGCUUAUGGUGCUUUUUCCAGGCCUGCCCAUUGCUGCCCAUGGACCAAUCAGCACACAUUUUCUCCCCUCUGAAACCCAUAAAAACCCCUGGACUCAGCCAGACUUGGGCAGUGGACAAGAUGACCUGUCUGCAGAUAGG
rnacentral:lncRNA from 10 species